CCUGUGAAUGGCCAAAGCUGGAUAGUUGCCGGAUAUCCGUUCCAUCACUACUAAAAACCCUUAUCCACAGAAUUGGGAUGAUCAAAAUAAAGCUAUUGAAGAGAAAGGCAUUAUCAACCCGUAUGUGAAUCAUCUCAUAUAUGUAAAAACUCUAGAAGAUAUGAUUUCACGGCUAUAUUUUGAAAAUAGCGAUUUAAUUCACAUUAAAUGAUAAGAUAAGAUAUGAUCUGCUCCUCAUAGAAGAGUAAAGAAUCCCGAUUUAGCACAAUGACACGCAUAAGCAGUAUCACACACUCAGUCUACAUCAACAUGUUCCUCAACUUCUAUUUGUCACCUGCAUAUUCUACUUGCCAUCUGGAUUUAUGCCUGGACAAAUGGAAAUGCAAUAAAUACUGCUUUUGAACGAAUUUAAGGUUGAGUGAAUCCAGCUCUCUUCAGAGAGAUAAUCAGUAUGCCCGAAAACGAUUAAAAGACGCAAGUUUGGUUAGUUACGUAGGCUUUAGUUCAAGGUCGCAGCUAAAAACCCUUGUCCAGAGGAUUGGGAUAAGGCGAUUGGGCAGAAAGGCAAUAAGAUAUGGUUUAUCGACUGUACUUUGAGUAUUGUGGGAUUUAAUUCAGAUUAAUAAGAUAGGGUCUGUUCCUUAUAGAGGAGCCAAGAAUCUCGAUUUAGCACAGUGACUGAGAGUGGCUGUAUCAAACACUCACCCUACAUGAGUGGGUUUCUUGACACCUCUUUGAGCUAUAAUAGAAGAGUUCAUCACAAAUUGGACUAUUUUACACUCUCCAUAGCUCAAGGAAUUGUGGCAUUGCAGUCUAAUCAUAAUAAUACUCUAAAAUGUGAUAAUAAGAAUGUUUACAACAAAUUAAUGACUUGUUUUAUAACAAAUUUAACAUAUUGACCUAUGUGUUUGAUUCCGGAGAAAUUAUAUUAAAUAUUAUUAAGAAACCAACUGAAAAGAGCUGUACUACAAAUUUUCACCAUCAACGUAGCUUGACGAAAUCAUGGACAAUAUAACAUUUAGAAAACCAGGUCUAAGUGAUAAAAUAGAGGCCCAAAGAAUCAAUCACAUCUUAUUGAUGUUGAAGCUAUAACAAAUCUAAAAAGGUGAUGCAUGGUGAUUGGGAAGUUAACCUGAAAACAUAUUACUUUAUUUAAGCGUUUCAAUGCAGUUCUAAAUUUAAUUUCCAAUAUUUUUAUAAGGUUCAGUAAAAUUUUAAUUGAUGCAGGAAAAAAAUUUUCUCUUUCAAUUUUCUGUCAUAGAAAUGUCAUUUUAGCAUAUUAAAUAUUGUAUUGAACAAUAUUAUUGAGCAAAAGUAACGUCCUGCAGUUUUCCUGGACAGGUGUUUGACAGAGUGUAACACUAGGGACUUGUGUACAGUGUUUAGAGCGUCACAAGAAGGAUUUGGCUGGAGGUUCACAAGGCAGUUUCUAAGGACCACGCCUUUAUUUAUUGUAUACUGCAAAUAUUUCAAUUUCAAAAGAUGGUGUACUUGGAACUAAAAGACUCAACACAAAUGAAAGCUUUAGAAAAACUUUAAGUAGAGAUUAACAAAAUUCAUGAAUACAUUAAAAAUUGGAAAAUACUGCUUAACAGCUUGAAAUGGGUUCACAUCAAUUUUGCAAACAGCAACUACACUCAGUCCUCAAGCAAAAUCAACUAAAUAUCUCGAUCUCCACCUCAAUGGGUGAUUGAACUGGAAGCAUGUUUGACAAAAAGCUUGGCAGAUUAGAUUCAAGACUAGACAUGGUCGGUAGAUACUCCCAACUUAAUCUGCUAUAAAAGAGAUUUAUGGUAUGUAACUGUGGAGUUGUAUCAAACCAUAAAAUAAGUUUAUCAUCUAUUAAAGUCAAAACAAAUUUCUUAGACUGAUUAACUAGUCAAGAACUGCAUGAUAACCUCGACAUCAAAUUAAUCUAUGAAGUAAUCCAAGAUUUCGCAGCGAAGCAUGAAAUAAGACUGAACUCGCAUGCCAAAGUUGAAUUUCCAUUCAACUCCUAAAUAAUACCCAGGAACACAGAAGAUUGAAGAGAACUAAAUCUCACAAACUUUUAUAGUAUCAAAACUAGACUUAUUUUAAUCUCUAUCAGUCCUUUGGUGUAUUAAUGCGCUGGCUAGUAUCAAGACAUAGGCUAGAUUAGUUUUCUCGGAUAUUUUGACGUUGCUCACAAGGAACGAUAAAGGCUAAGAACCUCAACAGCACUUUGCAAAGAUGUAAAAAGAGAAACAAAAGUUACGAACGCACUUAAAAGCACGUAGAAUUGAAGAAGCACCGAAUGUAUUGCCAGCAUUAUGCGUUGUUUUAUGGCGGACUUGGUAGCAGAAGUUGUGAAGGCGUUGGAAAUAAAAAGGAGGAAGAACAGAAAAAGUGAAAAGUUCAUGACUGGUUUUGCAGGUAGAAAAUUGAUAGUAUCGCAAAAAAUUUAAAAAACAUUAGGAGAGAUGAUUAUGGAUUAAUGUGAGGAAGAUGAAGGGUGUUUAAGAGAGAUUAUGAAAGAUUUUCAAGAACGCUAGAACUCCGUUUAAGCAAAUAGGGGCUUUGUGGGCUGGGGUAGUUUGAAUCUGUAUAUCAAUCUAUACCUUAAGAAAGGAGAAAAAAGGUGUUUGCAAAGAAACUAAAUAUUAUAUAAGAUUCAGGACUAGAGACAUAUGGUUGAUUGGAACUGGAUGUGUAAAAGAAUUGGGGUCUACUUGCUGAAAGACUACUGGCUCUAAAUAAUUAGAUUUGUGAUCAUGAAAAUGAUAAAAACCUCUCUAACAUUUCUAUGUUAGGUUUAGAAUAAACAUGGUAAGAGAAUGAGGUUAUCUAGGUUAUGAAGCAUUAUACAGCUAAAAGGACAUUAUGAUUUCGCCACUUUUUCCCCACACCAUUUAAGUGUACCUUAUUGUACCAUAUCUUUCAAGAGAUGUUAUUUAAUUGAAUACACCACAAUAAUUAAAUUCUAUUUACCAA
rnacentral:lncRNA from 1 species